rnacentral:rRNA from 1 species
GAUGAACGCUAGCGGGAGGCCUAAUACAUGCAAGUCGAACGGUAACAGGAUAGCAAUAUCGCUGACGAGUGGCGUACGGGUGCGUAACACGUACACAACCUGCCUUAUACUGGAGCAUAGCCUCGGGAAACUGAGAUUAAUUCUCCAUAAUGUUAUGAAGUGGCAUCACUAUAUAACUAAAACUCCGGUGGUAUAAGAUGGGUGUGCGUCCGAUUAGCUAGUUGGUGAGGUAACGGCUCACCAAGGCGACGAUCGGUAGCUGGUCUGAGAGGAUGAUCAGCCACACGGGCACUGAGACACGGGCCCGACUCCUACGGGAGGCAGCAGUAGGGAAUAUUGGACAAUGGGCGCAAGCCUGAUCCAGCCAUCCCGCGUGGGGGAUGAAGGUCUUCGGAUUGUAAACCCCUUUCGGGAGGGAAGAUGGAGCGAGCAAUCGUUCGGACGGUACCUCCAGAAGCAGCCACGGCCAACUUCGUGCCAGCAG